CCGUCGCCGGCGGCCGUGGCCAGCACCGCCGCCGGCCCCCAGCAGCAGGCGAGCAGGGCGCAGAGCCCGGCCAAAGCCAUCUUGAGCCCCGGCGCCUUCCUCCCAGCGCCGCGAAGAUGAAGAAAUCGAGACCAGUGAAAACAGGUGCUUUACCCAAGCCCCAUCUGCUAACAAGGAGUGAAGACCACGAGAUUGUUUAUGCUCAGUGUUCUUUCCGCCGCACGGCGCUGGUACAUCUGGGAGCACCCUUGGUGAUCAUUGGACUCCAUGGGUCAGAGUAACUCAUUCACUAAACAUAUGCAUACCUGCCACAGGCUGGACGUUAGGCUAAGCAAGGACAGAUACUAGAAGAAAAAUACUCCCUUGCUUCUGAGUAGCACAUAAUCAAUGACCUUGAAAUCUUCCUAAUUUUCUGAAGUGUCUUGAGUCAUUUCAGAGAACCCAAGUGAACCAUGUGGGGUUGAUUUUCUGAUAAGUCAACAUCUAGCAUUCUGUGCCUGUCUAUGUAGUCAUUUUUACAUGCUUUCUCAUUGACACAAGAAAAACAACACAUGGAUAAAAUGGCCACUUUAAACUGUAUAUGUAAUUGGAAAUAUUUGGAAGUUGGUGUCAAAGCCUUUAUAGAUUUCUUUCUUUAUGAAAUAGUAGAGCAAGAAAACUGUACAAAUAGAAGAUAGUAUUUUGCCUGAGCACUGGAUUCCUGUGAACUUGGAUACGAUGUCACGUGGCAUCCCCUUAAGGAAUUCAACACCUAGAGAUGGAAGAGAAGUUGACGUUCACAGAAACCAGCCCAACUGUACUGUGUCAUGUUGUACGUUUCCAUGGGACUGGAGGAAAUUUCUAUGCAUUUCAGCCUUUACCUUCAUGUACAGCCAAUGCAAUGUAGUGCAGCCACAGAACUGGGGUCAAGUCUCAAUGCCGUAAUUUGCCUGUUUGGGGGUGAGCCUGGACCAUUCCUAUCUUCAGUGUUCUCCUGCAUGAAAUGGGGUCGGCAGUCAUUGCCCACCCCAUAGGCUUGAGAUAAUACAAGUGCAAGUGUUUAUAUUCACUGAGACACUGUCACGUAUCAGUUUCUGUUAUCCCCCACCGGACUCUCUCCUGAGAUCCAGCUCCCCGCAUUCGAGUACCAGUGGCCUUGCUCCUUGACUCUUAAUAGCUUCCAAAUGCUUCCCCUGCUGGUAACCUAUUCCUCACACAGCUAGCGGGCUGAUCUUCAGGAAAUCUUGCUUUCUUAUGCCAUUCUAAAGGUCCCCCCCCCCCAUGGGAAUAAGUUCAAGCAUGGCUUAGAAAUGUAAAAACUCUUCCAAAUCUCAUGCUUAUUUAUUCUCUUAGAUUUAUUGCUUACUACACUAUCCUUCCCUCCCCGCCCCCACCCCACAACACACAUAACACAACCCAGCCAGAUUAAAGCCCAUUUUUCAAUUUUACUCUUCCCGUGCAUUCUGUCCCCCUGGAACACACCACUUGGGGUUCUCCAGCUUGUCCCAUCCCUGCACGCCACAUCCAGCUUCAUCGGAGCAAUGAGACCUUCCAUCAUUUCCUUUUCUCGGAGCUCCUCUCACGGGGGACUUACACACACACACACACACACACACACGCCUUAGGAGGCCAAGGGCUAUUUUUUGACACAAUGUAUUACAGUCGAUAUUCCCAUUAGCAGAACAGAAACAAUAAAACAUGCUUUUUAGAAUAGUUGUGAGACGGAAAUGAGAUUACGUGUAGAGGAGCUGACAUAUUUUAGGCAUUUAGUUGGUGCUCAGUGUGAUAGCUUUUGCUAUUAUCUGCUUAUUCAAUUACUGCAGAAAGAAUGUAGGUUUCAGAAUCUUCUGCGUGAGAUUUUUUUUUCCCCAUGUAGUAGCCAGAAGCAAGUUAAGUGAUUUCCACUCUUAGCAGAAUACCCAGGAUAAGUGAUUGCAUGUCUACCAAAAGGCAUGCACAAGAACAUUCAGGCCAGGUUUACUCGUAAGAGACAAAAAAAAUGGAAGCAAUCCAAAUAUGCCUCAACUGGAGAAUAAAUGUCAUAGAGUCGUGUAACAAAAUACUACACAGCAAUACAAAAUAAACACUCAAUUACAUGGGUGAAUCUCACAAACUGAUAAAUGAAAGAAGCCAGAAAUGAGAGAGUCUAGUCUAAGACUAUAUUUAUGGAAUUCAAGAACAGAUAACAUUAAUCUUUGAAGAUGAAAAUCACAAUACUGGUUAUCACUGGGGAGAGAGGUUUUGGCAGAGAAGGGUGAGACACACUUCUUGGAGUGCCAGAAAUUAUAUAGAGAGUGUUCACACUGACACAUAUAUAGGCAAAAAGUCAUCAAACUGCACACUUGUAGAAUUUUUUAAUGUAUAUUAAAUCAGAUUUUUUUACAGGGCUUAGGAAUCCAUAGGAGAAUAAAGUACAGGCAAGUUUUUUUUUUCCCCAGUUGUUUUCUUGUCUCUCAACUUCACCCCAUUUCCUUUUCCCUUAAACACCUUGGGAAAUUUAACUUUCCAUUGAAAUUGGUAACAAUUUGCUCAACUACCUCUUCCCUUUACUCACUCCCUUCUCCAACUUUAUGAGAGUCUCAACACUCAAUGUCUUAUCACCUGGGACAAGCUCAGGGAGCCUCUGUCACUAAGGAGCACAGGAGUAAAUAGCAGGUGGACAGCAACAGAUUUAGGCUGCCACUGGCUGAGUUGGGUAUUUAUCCAAUAGGAGAGCUGGAGAUCCUCUGGGACCACCACUCUGAAACAUUCUGUAGCUUAGGCAAACAAAUGCCUACAGGAUGGAGAAGGAGGGUCAAACCUGUGUAAGAUGCCGAGGAGGGAACACAGGUGAAAGUGAUGGGUGGGUGGGACCAAGGGUGUGUAUACGAGGACUAUUUCUAGUUUUCCUCCAUUCAUUCAGAACACCGGGCUCCUUGAUGCUUUUUAGCUAAUCCUGAUUAAUAUUACUUUGAUGUUUAUUAAACCUCUGCAUUCUUUCAUUUUUCCAACCAAACGAUCUUUUGAUGUUGCUCUUCACUUAAGGAACUAAAUCAAACACU